GAGCAGGAUCUGUUCUUGUGGCUUGUAAGGCGGGAAGGAGCCUCACUCUUAAGCAGAAUAGAUUAUUGAGGUGACUGCUACAGUGAAGAUGAGGUCAGAAGAACCAUUUCUUUGAAAAAUGUAUGGGGCAGAGUGAGACUGGGACAUAGCUUUCACCCAGUUUUCAUUUGUAUGAAAAAAACAAGUAACUAUUAACACUUUGAACUGGGAAAUCUAAGGAAUGAUGUAUUUGUUCCCGUUAAACAAAAUAAACACAUAAUUAUUUAUCAGCCUUCUAAACGAAGGCAGGGAUAACCUUAAUCACAAAUGGUAUGAAUUCCUCUGAGCACAUGCAGUAUAUUUUUCUAUAUGACUAGCUGUGGCCAGCCACGUGUUGCUGUGGCUUAUGAGAAUCAUUUGUUGACCAGAGGGAAUAGCAGUAAAUAGCCUUGCAGCCUCAAAGGUUGGCCGUUUACUUCUUAUGUGAAUCCUUAUUUGGUGAGCUGGAAUACAAUGAAAUAGGCUUGCUGCUUGGAAGGCUGGGUACUUGCAUUCUAGGGAAAUGGUUUUUUGGCCAAAUUGAAUUGCACUAAAUACCCUCGCUGCUUCAAAGCCUGGCUGCUUUCUAUAUAGGGGCAUCCUUCCUUGGGAAGGUUGAAUGGGACGAGUAGCCUCGUGGCUUCAAAACCUGAAGGUUUUCUAUCUAGGGGAAAUCUUGGUUGGCCAGGUUGAACAGCACUGAAUAACCUUGCUUCUUGCAAGCCUGGCCACUUUCUACCUUGUGGAAUUCUUGGUUGGCCAGGUUGAAUAGCAAUGAAUAGUCUCAGUGCAGCAACUAUGAAUGCUGCAGUUAGUCACCUUGAUUAGCAUUUAAUGGCCUUGCAGCUUCAAAGCCGUUAAUUUGUUAAGUUGCAUUGGGUGAAGAGGCAAGCCAAUGAGAUAAACCUUUUUAUCAGGGCAAAUUAAAAUUGAUGUAUUACUUAUUUCUUGAUCUCUCUGAUAGAGAGUAUGGUUUAACAUUACAUUAACUAGGUCCCAUCUACACUGGCAUAUAAAAUCCAGAUUCUCUGCUUUGAAUUGGAUUAUGUGUAGACUCACUGGUAUCUGAAGCCUUGAUGGAAUAUAUUGAUUUUGAUUUGUAAUUUUCUGUCUGUUUUUAAUAAAAGUGUUUUGGUUCUAUCUUAUGAUGUUGUUUAUUAUGUUUACUAUGUUUAACUUAGUUGUAGGGGUUUUUUUUUUUUUGACAAAUGAAUGUUUUUUAUGUUCGCGUUGGAAACCGCCCUGAGUCCUCUCAAGGAGAUGGAGCGGUAUAUAAAUAAAGUUUAUUAUUAUUAUAUUAUAUAAUCCAGUUCAAUGCAGAAAAUGAGGAUUAUCUGCUUUGAUAAUCUGGAUUAUUUGGCAGUGUAGAUUCAGUCCCAAUUAAGCCUUUGCACUCCAUAACCAGUUAUUUCCCAGGUCUGAUAGAGAGAACAAUCAAUCAACUAAUUAACUGGUUGAGCCUAAUCUGUAUGCAACAAAUUAAAAUAAAUGAAUCACUUUCAAAUUGAAAGAGAGUUCGAACAAACUGGUAGAGUUCUAACUGUCAUGUCCAGCAGUUGAUGGUGGUUGGUGGUGCCUAGCCGUUGGUGAUGGAAGGGGUUAAUGUAAGACUUAGUUCUAAAGGGCUGAGUAAUCUGUAAGUAAGAGUUUACAGGUGAAAGCAAUUGAGGGUGGAGGCAUGCAAGAAAUAGAUUGCAGCUGGAUUUUACUGGAUUAAGGAGCUAGCUGGAGACUAAUCUUUGGGUGAAAAGUAUUUGUCUUAUUUGGCUGUGGAUACUGCUGGUGUUUUCCCCAAGUAUGUGGAUUUUCAGUAUCCUGACCUGUCUCCUGAACUCUUGGAAUCCUGGAACCUUGAACUCUGGACUGGCUAUUGACUACGAUGAAACUUUGGAUGUGAAUACCUCAGAACAGUUAUUGCUCUCGCAAACUACAUAACCAGUGGACUCGCACAACCACACAUUCUUGGACAUGAAGAGGACACAGGAUUGCAGUGUUUCUGGUUGAAGACUUUGUUCACCAGUUGCUUGGCACCCCGCCGAAAAACAUAAAAUUGUAUUAUUUGUUGUGAGUCCCUCAGUCCACAAAGUUAUGCCCUUUCCCCACCCCCCACCUUAUGUUUUGGUUUUUAAAUACCAUUUAGCCUAAUGAAACAUUGUGGAGAACUCAAAGAGAAGCACGUUUUUGUGGAAUUUAAGAUGGAAUCUAUGAACCAUACCUGCAUGGAUUUUGGUUUUGCCUUGAAUACCCUUUUUGAAAAAUCUAGAUGGUUAACAAAUAAAUAAAAUGAAACAUACCGAG